rnacentral:misc_RNA from 1 species
GAGUUCUGGCAGAGGUGUUUGUGAGCUCCUAGGGGUGGAUCCAGCUGAUGUAGAUGUUAUGAUGGGAACUUUUACGAAAUCAUUUGGAUCGUGCGGUGGUUAUAUUGCAGCAUCGAAGGAAAUUAUUCAGUACCUGAAGUACUCCUGUCCAGCACAUCUGUAUGCGACCUCCAUGUCACCUCCUGCUGUACAACAAGUUAUAUCUGCAAUUAAAGUUAUUACAGGAGCUGAUGGGUCUAAUAGAGGGGCUCGAAAAAUUGCACAAAUUCGUGAGAAUAGCAACUUUUUCCGGUCAGAACUGCAAAA